AGCAGCCUCCCAGCGCGUUCACAGCAACAAAUCCUCCCAUGUGCGUCUGCAGCUCCUUCCAUUUCCAGCACCCCAGCGAUUCCGUGGCAUCCUUCCUCUUCCACGCGCGAUCUCGGACGAUCACCUCCUCCCAGCGUCCGCCCGUCAUUCCAAAUUAGCGCCCCAUUCUCCGUAAUCAGCAUCCGUUCCGAAUUAGCCUCCUCCCAGCAAAACUCCCUGCAUUCCUAUCCUUCUGUGGAGAAAUCGGAAGCAAUCACAGCUCCCUCCCCCGAUGCUUGCAGCCCCCGCGUCCGAGCCACUCGGAUCCUGCGGCCAGCCGGGAUAUGCAUUUCAAUCGAUCGCACCCGUCCUCGGCUUCCCAUCCGUCCGCCUCUUCCUUCCGCGUCCAGCGCGCCUCAGAUUCCUCCCUUUCCGGAUUAGUGAAGCAUCCAAGCCUUCCCACGAGCAUCAUCCUCUUCCGUUUCUCGCCAUCAAGGAGCCGUUCUAGCCGCGUUACAGCUCCCCUCCGCAUCCCGCGACCCCCUUCUCCGUGAUCCCUGCAUCUGCGCUGGAUCUUCACCCAUGAUCAGCUCCCAGCGAUCACGCAUCCUCUCCACAUGCUCGCUGGCUGAUGGGAUCUAUAUAAAGAGGCUCUCGGUUGGCGAAAGGUAGGAGAGGCCAUCGGCUGGGGAGGAAGAGGGAGGUGGGUUCUCGGCUGGGUCAAAA
rnacentral:lncRNA from 1 species